UACGUAGGGUGCGAGCGUUGUCCGGAAUUAUUGGGCGUAAAGAGCUCGUAGGCGGCCUGUCGCGUCGGUUGUGAAAGCCCGGGGCUUAACCCCCGGGUCUGCAGUCGAUACGGGCAGGCUAGAGUUCGGUAGGGGAGAUCGGAAUUCCUGGUGUAGCGGUGAAAUGCGCAGAUAUCAGGAGGAACACCGGUGGCGAAGGCGGAUCUCUGGGCCGAUACUGACGCUGAGGAGCGAAAGCGUGGGGAGCGAACAGG
rnacentral:rRNA from 1 species